UCGGACGUCGCCAAAAGUGUUUUAACGAAACGUGACGUAUCGUAGAGUUGAUUGCUUUUACUACUUGCAUGCAGUUCUCAGUUACUGGAUACAAACAGGCAAUUGUGCAUAGAUGUGUAAAUCGUUCUUAAAAAUCGAAUAUAAAAGUGGAUAUUAUGUAUGUAGAUUAAAAAGUGCGCGCAAAAAAAAGUCGAGCUGUGAUUACUGAAGUUGUUUGAAUGAAGUUGAAAAAAUUCAAUAAAUUUUAAUAAUAAAUUUUGUGUGGAACGGCUGUGCUGCAAGAGUAACUAGCGAAAAUUUGUCUAUUCCAUUUCAUUGUGCUGUGAAAGUUUCACUGUGCUUUGCGACACGAGUAGCUGCAGAAAUAAUAAAA